UGAACGGACUGGGGUGUGACGUUAAACCAUGUCCUGGAUAUAGACUGAACCUAAUCUGUUCAAAGCAUGUUACGCAGUACUAAUAUUUUGAAGCGGACGCGUCAGCCACUGGUAGCCAGUGAAGGGAGCGUAGGAGCGGAGCAGUGUGAGUGAAUAUAGGUUGGUUAAAAACCAGUCGAGCUGCUGCCUUCUGAAUGAGCUGCAAAGGACGGAUGGCAGAAGCAGGUAGACCUGCCCGGAGGGAGUUGCAGUUGUCUAGACGUGAGAUGACCAGAGCCUGGACCAGAACCUGCACCACCUUCUGAGUGAGAAGGGGGCGUAUUCUCCUGAUGUUGUACAGCAUGAAUCUACAGGAACGUUUUGUUACCAUUAUGUUGGCAGUGAGGCAGAGUUGGCUGUUGAGUUUCACACCCAGGUUCCUAGAAGACUGAGUGGGUGUUAACAUGGAGUUGUCAAAGUUAAUAGUCAGGCUGUGGUAUGGAGAGUCUUUCCCUGGAAGGAAAAGUUGUUCAUUUUCAGAUGGUGUGCGGUCAUCCACUGAGAGAUGUCGGUCAGACAGGCAGUGAUUCGUACUGCUACCUGUGUUUCAGAUCGGGGAAAGGAGAGGAUUAGUUGGGUGUCAUCAGCAUAGCUAUGGUAAGAAAAGCCAUGUGAGUGAAUGGCAGAGCUGAGAGAGUUGGUGUACAGAGAGAAGAGGAGAGGACCCAGGUCGGAACCUUGAGGGAGCCCAGUAGUGAGAGGACAAAGUUCAGACACAGAUCCUCUCCAAGUUAUCAGAUAAGUGAGGUCAUUGAGGUCGGGAGAGAGCAGGGAGAGAGCAGAGCCUGAGACAGCCAGGUCCUGAAGGGAGGAAAUAAGGAUCUGGUGGUUCAAUGUGUCAAAUGCAGCAGAGUGGUCUAGAAGAAUAAGGACAGAGGAGAGAGAAGCUGCUCUAGCAGUGAGAAGCUGCUCAGAGACAGCAAGAAGGGCAGUCUCAGUUGAGUGACCUGCCUUGAAACCAGACUGGUGAGGUUCAAGAAGGCUAUUGUGGUUAAGACAGGAGGAGAGUUGAUUAAAGAUAACGCGCUCAAGAUCAUAAAGUUUCAAAAGCAUCAAAAUGAAAGACAAGCCCUCUGAACUGUGAGGGAAUAUCUUGUUUUCCACUUACGCUGUCACAGAUCUUCUGAAUUUCUCCGUCAGCAGCAGUUUGUGUGGAAAGGCAUCCAACAAACAUGAUAACACUGCCAUGGAGCUCUAAGGAGUGAAGAGAUGAACGAGGCAUUCUCGUCCCACCACUAUAUUGUGGAGACAUGCGGGAAGCAGCAGGUCUGAACAGUGAAACCUUUUGGACUGAGGUGAGGAAUUUUACACUCCUUGUUCUCAUUUGGACUUGAUGAUUGCCUUAGGACUCAAUUUGGUAUCCUCUCCUGAUGGGGUGACGGUUACACAACAUUCAACCCCACCAUCUUUUCAGAUGUCCCAAAUGGCUCAUGUGCCACUGCUUGUGUAUCAGGGGCUCCUGCCUAUGGAUGUCAUUACUGAGUUGCUCUCCAUGUCACAGCCUUAAGUCACUUCUUCUUUUUCCAAUUUCAUGCCCUUAGAGGCAUUGCAUCGUACUUUACAUGUGACAUGAUUCCCUGGUGUCUAACCAUCUUCUGGUCCGGUUCCAAGAGGGCAGCUGCUGUUUCGCUCACCGACAGGCAUAGUGAGGGAUCUAGGACCAUUUGUCAUAUAAUUUCAGGCUGUCGCUGAUUGGCAGUCCACAAAGACACCUGAUGUAAUGUAUUCACCUAGCAUGAAUGCUUUCAGUUUUAAAAGUUUUUCGGCCACACGAUCAUUAUAUGUGGUUGAUGACUAUCUCCAUUCUCACAUCAUGUUGUCAAAUCCCUGAGAUACUUCUCUUCUUCUUACAGACUUACCAGAAACGCUGUGGGCAAAGGACAAAUACGAUGUGGGCCUCAUCAGAAACUGUGACCCAGUCAAAAUCAAUCCUGCAGAUCUUUGGUUAUAGAAAGAAAACUGAGCUGUGCAACACUGGUGAAAAUAGACGGGUUGAAAAUUAUAUAAAUCAUUGAAUAAAUAAUCAAAAUUACUAUCUACAGCAACGAAUCGAUCUCCUGCCAAUACACCAAAAGGGGCAUUUGGAGCGCAAAAAUGCCCAAAAAUUGGUCUCAGGAGGUUUACCAGUUAUUGUUAGAUGAAUUAAUCUGGUGGACACAUACGAUAAAUCCAGGAUCAGUGAGAAACCCAGUUUUGACAGAAAUCCUUAAUCCUGACUUGAAUCAACCAGCGAUGAUAUUUUCAGAGUGAAAUACAAUACAAAAUACCUCAGGUCUAUAUUUGGCCAUCUGUCCUAAUUUAACAACACUGUCUGCAGGCUUUUGUGUGGAAUUGGUUUCUGUUAACACCAACAGAGACAGAACAAUAAAUAAUUCUCUGGAUUCAAAAUACAUCCAGACAUUUGUCAGGGAGCAGAGAUAUUAUUAAUAUACGGUGGCAUUGAUUGCAAGUAAUGAUGGAUGACAUGGCAGCUCCCCAAAAAUGAAGGGAAGGGAAAUUGUCUCGAUGCCCUCUGGUGGCUGGUAGCAGUAUUUGUCUGGCGGAACCUCCUCAAUGUAAUUGGAUGGAGUAGAGACUAGAGAGCAAAUAAAAAAUAGUUGGUGUAAUAAAACAGUAUGUUCGUGAAGGGUAGGUGAUAUUGAUGAAAGUCCGAACGUUCAUUUGUCUGAACAAGUUUAAUUUAAUUAGUCAUUUGAUAAAAAUAAAUAAUGCAGCGGAUCAUCAUGUUUGACAGCUGAGACUGACUCGAUUGGCCGAACACGAUGCAUUCGCAGGGCCUAGAUAUGAUGACUCCAUCUCCCGAAUCAUUAACCGCACUGACUCUGGCUACAGAUAACUUCAGAGGCAAAAGAUGGAAGCUUCAUUUAGCUUAAUUUUUGUUCUACAAAGAGAUCAUGGAAACAUGACGUCCAUCUUUAUACACAGUCUUUGGUUUUAAAUCGCUGGCAUGUAGAAAACAGUACUGCAGGUAAGUCUGCACAGGCGUGGGGAACAUAAAUGGUUUUCAUGGAACCAGACACCAAAAGAGUUUCAGUAAUUCAACAAUGUGUUGCAGGGAUGUGAUGCAUAAGCAGUGACAGGUUUGAAGAUCUUUGAUAAGCUUUGUAAUAAUCUUUGUGACAUUUAAUAAAUGUAAUGCUUUGAGUAAUGCAAUUUCAGACAAGUACAAAAAAGUUACGAACCAUGUUCUUUAUGUCCUGUAUGUGUACAUGUAUUGUGUUCUGUUUUGUGUUUUUUUUUUUGUCUCCUCCUCUUGGGUGCCUGGAGAUGCCUGCAGGGACCAGAAGGGGGAGCUCUCGGGCAGGACGCAUCAUUGAAGUGGCACAGAGGAAGAAGCAUCAUGGCCGAUCAUCUCACCUGGUUCCAAUAACGAAAAUCACCACACCUGGUCCCCAUCUACAAUCAACCCUUCCCCUUUGAAUAGUCCUUUGUUUUGUUUUUUGUCAGCUGGAGAGGAGGGUUUUUUGUAGGGAGCUGUGUCAGAGCGCUGUGGGUUUGUGUUUGGUUUAGCUUAAACAUUUGCUGGUGCAUUGAUUAACUUUUUCCUCUAUCAUUUGAGGUGUCAGCAGCCUACUUUUGUCUUUGUCUUUGUGAAUGCUUGUUUGUUGUGCGCACUGGGACAACAAGGACAGGUAAGAUACUCCGGGGUCUACAUAUAACACACAUGCAGGUUUACUUCUUGUUAUUACCCCAGGUUAGAGUGAGCACCACCCGCUGUACUUUUGGGUGCUACGCACCUGUAAAGGGGGGCUAGGUUUUUUUUGUGUUCUUUUCUUUGGUGCCACUGAGAGUCCUUGUUGAUCCCUAUGUUGCUUUGUUUAAAUACUUUCUUUGCCUUUUAUCUUGUUAUAGUUUGUGUGAUUGCACCCUCACUUCUGCAUACCUGUCGCAUUUAUGCUAUGCCCCACUUCGAGCCAACAGGGGGCGAAACAGUGAUAUUUAAUAAAUGUAAUGCUUUGAGUAUUGCAAUUUCAGACAAGUACAAAAAAGUAGCUUCAUUCAGCUGAUGCGUACUUUGUGAAGAAAUGUAAGCGAUGUGAUGCAAGUAGCUCUCGGCCCGUUUAAAAUAUUCAAAGUUGCUCAGAGAUGAAGAAGGGUGGAGACCCCUGUUCUAGAAGAAGUGGAUCGAUCCUCUGCCUUCUUCUCUCGCUGCAUGUCCGUCAGGAUAAAGCUGCCUUCUUGACUUGAUAAAAGUUAAUGUAAACAA